rnacentral:rRNA from 1 species
AUGUGGGCUCUUAGAGAGAAUUAGCCUGUUAUCCCUAUGGUAGCUAGAUCUUUUAAUCGGGAGACCGGAUCUUUAUAAGGGUGAUGACCUUUUGGAGAUAAAGAAGAUUUAGGUCUUCUUCUGUCGCCCCAACAAAACUUUUUCAAGAUUUUUGGUUAUAGAUUCUCUUUCGGUAAAUCUUGGUAAAGUAAAGCUCAAUAGGGUCUUUUUGUCUUUCUUUUCUAUUCAGAUCUCUUCAUCUGAAGGUUAAUUUUCGGGUAAUAAAAAUGAAACAGCUUUACUCUCGUAUGUUCCUUCAUUCCAGCCUCUAAUUA